CCCCGCUCAGGAUCACACCUGGUGAGUCCCCAGUAUUCUACCAGUCUCGGGUAUGGGAGGGAGAGUCAAGCAGAGGUGUACCCAUUUCAUUCCUAGCUUGGGCAGUGGCUAGUGAGUGGAAGAUAAUCUGCUACAAAA